AGAGUUUGAUCCUGGCUCAGGAUGAACGCUGGCGGGUGUUUAACACAUGCAAGUCGAACGAUGNCCUCCAGCUUGCUGGGGUAUUAGUGCGAACGGGUAGUAACACGUGAGUAACCUGCCCUUAACUNUGGGAUAAGCCUGGAAACUGGGUNUAAUNCCGGAUAUGACUCCUCAUCGCAUGGUGGGGGGUGAAAAGCUUUUUGUGGUUUUGNAUGGACUCGCGGGCCUAUCAGCUUGUUGGUNAGGUAAUGGCUCACCAAGGCGACGACGGGUAGCCGGCNUNANAGGGUGACCGGCCACACUGGGANUGAGACACGGCCCAGACUCCUACGGNAGGCANCAGUGGGGAAUAUUGCACAAUGGCGAAAGCCUGAUGCAGNAACNCCGCGUGAGGGAUGACGGCCUUCGGGUUGUAAACCUCUUUCAGUAGGGAAGAAGCGAAAGUGACGGUACCUGCAGAAGAAGCGCCGGCUAACUACGUGCCAGCAGCCGCGGUAAUACGUAGGGCGCAAGCGUUAUCCGGAAUUAUUGGGCGUAAAGAGCUCGUAGGCGGUUUGUCGCGUCUGCCGUGAAAGUCCGGGGCUCAACUCCGGAUCUGCGGUGGGUACGGGCAGACUAGAGUGAUGUAGGGGAGACUGGAAUUCCUGGUGUAGCGGUGAAAUGCGCAGAUAUCAGGAGGAACACCGAUGGCGAAGGCAGGUCUCUGGGCAUUAACUGACGCUGAGGAGCGAAAGCAUGGGGAGCGAACAGGAUUAGAUACCCUGGUAGUCCAUGCCGUAAACGUUGGGCACUAGGUGUGGGGGACAUUCCACGUUUUCCGCGCCGUAGCUAACGCAUUAAAGUGCCCCGCUGGGGAGUCGGGCGCAAGGCUUAAACUCAAAGGAAUUGACCGGGGCCCGCACAAGCGGCGGAGCAUGCCGAUUAAUUCGAUGCAACGCGAAGAACCUUACCAAGGCUUGACAUGGGCCGGACCGCAACGAGCGCAACCCUCGUUCCAUGUUGCCAGCGCGUAAUGGCGGGGACUCAUGGGAGACUGCCGGGGUCAACUCGGAGGAAGGUGGGGACGACGUCAAAUCAUCAUGCCCCUUAUGUCUUGGGCUUCACGCAUGCUACAAUGGCCGGUACAAAGGGUUGCGAUACUGUGAGGUGGAGCUAAUCCCAAAAAGCCGGUCUCAGUUCGGAUUGGGGUCUGCAACUCGACCCCAUGAAGUCGGAGUCGCUAGUAAUCGCAGAUCAGCAACGCUGCGGUGAAUACGUUCCCGGGCCUUGUACACACCGCCCGUCAAGUCACGAAAGUUGGUAACACCCGAAGCCGGUGGCCUAACCCCUUGUGGGAGGGAGCUGUCGAAGGUGGGACUGGCGAUUGGGACUAAGUCGUAACAAGGUAACC
rnacentral:rRNA from 1 species